rnacentral:rRNA from 1 species
AUUGAACGCUGGCGGCAGGCCUAACACAUGCAAGUCGAACGAGUGGCGGACGGGUGAGUAAUGUCUGGGAAACUGCCUGAUGGAGGGGGAUAACUACUGGAAACGGUAGCUAAUACCGCAUACCAUCAGAUGUGCCCAGAUGGGAUGAGCUAGUUGGUGGGGUAACGGCUCACCAGGGCGACGAUCCCUAGCUGGUCUGCGAGGAUGACCAGGCACACUGGAACGGGGACACGGGCCAGACGCCGACGGGAGGCAGGAGUGGGGAGUAUUGCAGAAUGGGCGCAAGCCUGAUGCAGCCAUGCCGCGUGUAUGAAGAAGGCCUUCGGGUUGUAAGGUACUUUCAGCGGGGAGGCGUUACCCGCAGAAGAAGGACCGGCUAACUCCGUGGCAGCCGGCGCGGUAAUAC